rnacentral:rRNA from 1 species
AGACCCGAAACCCGGUGAUCUAGCCAUGGGCAGGUUGAAGGUUGGGUAACACUAACUGGAGGACCGAACCGACUAAUGUUGAAAAAUUAGCGGAUGACCUGUGGCUGGGGGUGAAAGGCCAAUCAAACCGGGAGAUAGCUGGUUCUCCCCGAAAGCUAUUUAGGUAGCGCCUCGUGAAUUCAUCUCCGGGGGUAGAGCACUGUUUCGGCUAGGGGGCCAUCCCGGCUUACCAACCCGAUGCAAACUGCGAAUACCGGAGAAUGUUAUCACGGGAGACACACGGCGGGUGCUAACGUCCGUCGUGAAGAGGGAAACAACCCAGACCGCCAGCUAAGGUCCCAAAGUCAUGGUUAAGUGGGAAACGAUGUGGGAAGGCCCAGACAGCCAGGAUGUUGGCUUAGAAGCAGCCAUCAUUUAAAGAAAGCGUAAUAGCUCACUGGUCGAGUCGGCCUGCGCGGAAGAUGUAACGGGGCUAAACCAUGCACCGAAGCUGCGGCAGCGACACUCAGGUGUUGUUGGGUAGGGGAGCGUUCUGUAAGCCUGCGAAGGUGGCCUGUGAGGGUUGCUGGAGGUAUCAGAAGUGCGAAUGCUGACAUAAGUAACGAUAAAGCGGGUGAAAAGCCCGCUCGCCGGAAGACCAAGGGUUCCUGUCCAACGUUAAUCGGGGCAGGGUGAGUCGACCCCUAAGGCGAGGCCGAAAGGCGUAGUCGAUGGGAAACGGGUUAAUAUUCCCGUACUUGGUGUUACUGCGAA